ACUGUGGAGUGUUGUAUAAACGUUGGUAGCUACGGCAAAGACGGACACGACGAAGCAGUAA
rnacentral:sRNA from 12 species